CACUCCUCAUGAGCAAACAGCUCCAGUUGUCUCAGGUUUGAUGGGUGUCUUCUCCAAAUGGCAUGUUUCAGCUCCUUCCACAUAUGUUCAAUGGGAUUCAGAUCUGGGCUCAUAGAAGGCCACUUUAGAAUAGUCCAACGCUUUUCUCUCAGCCAUUCUUGGGUGUUUUUGGCUGUGUGUUUUGGAUCGUUGUCCUGUUGGAAGACCCAUGACCUGCGACUGAGACCAAGCUUUCUGACACUAGGCAGCACAUUUCUCUCCAGAAUGCCUUGAUAGUCUUCAGAUUUCAUCGUACCUUGCACACUUUCAAGACACCCUGUGCCAGAUGCAGCAAAGCAGCCCCAAAACAUUACUGAGCCUCCUCCAUGUUUCACCGUAGGGACAGUGUUCUUUUCUUCGUAUGCUUGGUUUUUGAGUCUAUGAACAUAGAGUUGAUGUGCCUUACCAAAAAGCUCCAGUUUGGUCUCAUCUGUCCAAAGGACAUUCUCCCAGAAGCUUUGUGGCUUGUCAACAUGCAUUUUUGCAAAUUCCAGUCUGGCUUUUUUAUGAGUUUUUUUCAGCAGUGGUGUCCUCCUUGGUCGUCUCCCAUGAAGUCCACUUUGGCUCAAACAACGACGAAUGGUGCGAUCUGACACUGAUGUACCUUGGCCUUGGAGUUCACCUUUAAUUUCUUUGGAGGUUGCUCUGGGCUCUUUGGAUACAAUUCCAACGAUCCGUCUCUUCAAUUUGUCAUCAAUUUUCCUCUUGCGGCCACGUCCAGGGAGGUUGGCUACUGUCCCGUGGGUCUUGAACUUCUGAAUAAUAUGAGCCACUGUUGUCACAGGAACUUCAAGCUGUUUAGAGAUGGUCUUAUAGCCUUUACCUUUAAGAUGUUUGUCUAUCAUUUUUUUUCGGAUGUCCUGGGACAAUUCUCUCCUUCGCUUUCUGUUGUCCAUGUUCAGUGUGGUACACACCUUUUCACCAAACAGCAGGGUGACUACUUGUCUCCCUUUAAAUAGGCAGACUGACUGAUUAUGAGUUUGGAAACACCUGUGAUGUCAAUUAAAUGACACACCUGAGUUAAUCAUGUCACUCUGGUCAAAUAGUUUUCAAUCUUUUAUAGAGGUACCAUCAUUUUUGUCCAGGCCUGUUUCAUUAGUUUGUUUUUUUAAAUAAUUAUGUUAAUCAACAAUUCAAAAGUAAUGGCUGUUUUUGAUUAUUUAAUUUUCAAUAAAUUUUUAUUUAUUGUUACUUUUGUGAGUUUCAAGUGAUUUCAGUGAGAAUUGUGGGUUUUUCCUUCUUUAACUGAGGGGUACCAACAAUUUUGUCCACGUGUGUAUCACAGUGAAAAUAUGACAAGUCAUGCAUGUGGUAACAAGUAAAUAAAAAUUACACCUUUCAACCUAAAUAGAAAGUAAAUUCAGAGGUUAAUAAUGGAAUUCAUUCUAAAUCAUAGUAUCCUGUUGAAGAAAUUAUUAAACAUCACAUUUUAAUAAAUCACUUCUGUGAAAGAUAGAAGUGAGGUUUUCGGAUAUGUCAGAGAUGAACCACAGUCAGUAACUUUGGUAAACCUGGAAAACAAAAAUACAUAUCAGAAAUAUUAAUUUGGCAAGUGUUCUUUUGUUCCAGUUCAGAAGGUGUCUCUCUCUGUUCCAGUCUCCCCUGUGCUCCUCCAAGUCAUAAAAGUUUUAUGGCUUGUUAUCUGAUCUGUGGAAUGUGGAGACGUCCCCAGAGAGAAUCUCCUAAAGCUGAAAAGGGAUUUUAGCAUGAAAGUUCAUUAACAAACAUCCAUAGCAUAAAAGUGAAAGUCAUUGUCUUUCAGAAAGAAAAAGUUAUUCCAGGUGUUUAAAUGUUCACAGGAAUUCCAUCUUCCUGUGGAUGAAACAUACAGAAAUACAUUUCUUAGAUUUAUAUCUAUUGUCGUGCCUCACAAACCAGUGCUCUGGCUUAUAUGUACCCUCACAUCAUUAGCCACAAGUGUGAUCAAUUUUGAGUUGUUGUGUUCAACCGGUGACGCCUGAGCUUUAACUGUUGUCAAGUGGGGCCUAGUUAUUUGAGAUCCCAGGAGCAACCACCACCUAAAUAAAAGCUUUAAGCAAACCAAUGAAAAGUUAAAAUGAGAAACUAUAUAAGUUAACCACAUGAUUAUGCUUAUGCUUGAUGCAAGAAUGAUUUUAAUAGGCUGAUAUAUAUUCUGGAAAUGAUGAUUGCUAUAGAAGAGAAUGAUUUAAAAUAAGUUAUUUGAUCAUGCUAAGAAAAAUGAUUUAAAGAAGUGAUUCAGUGUAACUAAGUGAGUUUUGACUUGAAGUAAUCUGUGCUGUUCUGAGCUGUGUGCAGGGCAAAAAGCAGAAGUCACCAUGACACUGCAGAAAGGAGGACAUUGAGGAAGUUCUGUGGCCAAAUAUGGUCUUGGCAACAUGUCUCAAGCAAUGUGUGUGUGUGUGUUAACAACGGAAGGUGGAUGCUGUGUACUUGCUGGAAAAACAUGAUUUCUGUGUAACUGAUGUAUGUGUAAUAGGAAGAAGGUUGUGUCUUAAACCUAUGAAUUAAUUAAUUGGGCGUACCUACUAGUUAGAAUUGUGUGUGAAAAUGUGUAUGUGCUAAGCUGAAGUCGAGCUAGGGUAUAAAACCCAGAGACACAGACACUGAGUUCGGAGUUCUCCCCCGGAGGGGAGAGAUGCUGCUCGCCGGAGCUGCAAGAGAUGCUGCUCGCCGGAGCUGCCGGAGAGCAUUGCCAAAGUUCUGGAGAGUCGACACCGGAUCUUUCGCCCAAGAGACGUGAAGACAACGCGGGACUUAGGCUCCAGAGUUCGCUGAGAACAUCGUUGGAGGCAAAGUCUUUUUCUGACUUUGUUCAGCAAGCGAGGACCACACUCUGCUGAAAGGAGAGUCCUGAGAGGUCUGCAGUUGUCCAAAGAGAUGAAGAGAGGCAAGCACCCAUGGCAUCCAGAGAGGCACAGGAGGCAGCAGCAGAGGGCUGCUCCACUCCAGGGGCUGGAGGACCCAGUGACCCACCACAGCCUGAUGAGACGGGGGCUUUCCACCACCACCAUCCGACUGAGAAGACAGCUCAGACGCCCGCACUUGUGUUCCAGCUGCUACUAAAGAUAACUGCCAGACCAACGAUUGGCUAUCGGGACCUUUCCACUCCCCCUGCCUAGGAAGAACACCCUCCAUCCACAAAGAAGACUUCGUACCGAGUCUACUGGUCGAUCGAGUGGCUCAACUAGAUGCAGGUCAAGACCGGGCGUGACAGCUUGGCCGCGCUGUCCGCUCUCUCUCCUAAAUUUACUAAUUAGAGAAGAUUCUUAGGUACGCUCAGCUUAGUUUAAUUUAGUUAAGUUAGAAAUAAUCAGAAAUAAUUAAAUUGUUUAAUCAUGAAUUAAUGCUGUACCCCUGCUAAUAAUUGCUUAAUAAAACGCUAUAUUGCAUUUAAAGAGAA